CAAAAACAUGUCUUUUUGUAUUUAAUUUAAAGUCUAAUCUGCCCACUGAUUUUUAAUUAAAGGGCUGCAGUAAUUUGACUGUACAAAGGUAGCAUAAUCAUUAGUCUUUUAAUUGAAGACUUGUAUGAAAGAUUUGAUGAGAUAUAAACUGUCUCUUUAUUACAAUUAAAAUUUAAUUUUUUAGUUAAAAAGCUAAAAUAUUUUUAAAAGACGAGAAGACCCUAUAGAGUUUUAUAGUUUUUAUUAUAAAAUAUUUAUAUAAAAUUUUAAUGUUAUAUUAUAAAAAUUAUUUUGUUGGGGAGAUAAAAAAAUUAAAUAAACUUUUUUAAAUAUUUUCAUGAAUAAUUGAGUAAUUGAUCCAUAUUUAUUGAUUAAAAGAAAAAAUUACCUUAGGGAUAACAGCGUAAUAUUUUUUUUUAGUACAAAUAAGAAAAAAAGUUUGCGACCUCGAUGUUGGAUUAAGAUAAAAUUUAAAUGUAAAAGUUUAAAAUUUUGAUCUGUUCGAUCAUUAAAAUCUUACAUGAUCU
rnacentral:rRNA from 1 species